UACGUAGGGGGCUAGCGUUGUCCGGAAUCAUUGGGCGUAAAGAGCGCGUAGGCUGCUCGGUAAGUCCGCUGUAAAAGUCAAAGGCUCAACCUUUGAAUGUCAGUGGAAACUGCCGGGCUAGAGUCCGGAAGAGGCGAGUGGAAUUCCUGGUGUAGCGGUGGAAUGCGCAGAUAUCAGGAGGAACACCGGUGGCGAAGGCGGUUCUCUGGGCAUUACCUGACGCUGAGGAGCGAAAGUGUGGGGAGCGAACAGG
rnacentral:rRNA from 1 species